rnacentral:rRNA from 1 species
UACGAAGGGGGCUAGCGUUGUUCGGAAUCACUGGGCGUAAAGCGCACGCAGGCGGAUCGAUAAGUCGGGGGUGGAAUCCCGGGGCUUAACCUCGGAAUUGCCUUCGAUACUGGCGGUCUCGAGUACGGGAGAGGUGAGUGGAAUUCCUAGUGUAGAGGUGAAAUUCGUAGAUAUUAGGAAGAACACCAGUGGCGAAGGCGGCUCACUGGCCCGGUACUGACGAUCAGGUGCGAAAGCGUGGGGAGCAAACCGG